rnacentral:rRNA from 1 species
GAUGAGCGCUAGCGACAGGCUUAACACAUGCAAGUCGAGGGGCAGCAUAAAAGUAGCAAUACUUUGGUGGCGACCGGCGCACGGGUGAGUAACGCGUAUGCAACCUACCUAUCAGAGGGGAAUAACCCGGCGAAAGUCGGACUAAUACCGCAUAAAACAGGGGCACCGCAUGGUGAUAUUUGUUAAAGAAAUUCGCUGAUAGAUGGGCAAGCGUUCCAUUAGGUAGUUGGUGAGGUAACGGCUCACCAAGCCGACGAUGGAUAGGGGAACUGAGAGGUUGGUCCCCCACACUGGUACUGAGACACGGACCAGACUCCUACGGGAGGCAGCAGUGAGGAAUAUUGGUCAAUGGGCGGGAGCCUGAACCAGCCAAGUCGCGUGAAGGAAGAAGGAUCUAUGGUUCGUAAACUUCUUUUGCAGGGGAAUAAAGUGCAGGACGUGUCCUGUUUUGUAUGUACCCUGAGAAUAAGGAUCGGCUAACUCCGUGCCAGCAGCCGCAGUAACAC